AUGAAAAUUUUAAGCUGGAAUUGUAACGGGCUCGGAAACGCCGCAGCAGUUCGUGCGUUGUUGGAUGUCCAGCGAGCAUGCAACCCAGACGUGAUGUUUCUGUCAGAGACUCACUUGGAAAGCUACCCGGCUAAAUGUUUACGAAGGAGAUUAAACAAGGAUCAUAAAUUGGUGUGUGCGGGAGAUGGUCGGAAAGGUGGUUUGAUACUG
rnacentral:rRNA from 1 species